GACGAACGCUGGCGGCGUGCUUAACACAUGCAAGUCGAACGCGCCUGUCCUCUGGGUUUCUGGGGGGUGGGUGAGUGGCGAACGGGUGAGUAACACGUGAGUAACCUGCCCCCUUCUUCGGGAUAACGGUCUGAAAGGGCUGCUAAUACCGGGUAUUCACUGGUCUCCGCAUGGGGUCUGGUGGAAAGGUUUUUUUCUGGUGGGGGAUGGGCUCGCGGCCUAUCAGCUUGUUGGUGGGGUGAUGGCCCACCAAGGCUUUGACGGGUAGCCGGCCUGAGAGGGUGACCGGUAACAUUGGGACUGAGAUACGGCCCAGACUCGUACGGGAGGCAGCAGUGGGGAAUAUUGCACAAUGGGAGCAAGCCUGAUGCAGCGACGCCGCGUGAGGGAUGGAGGCCUUCGGGUUGUGAACCUCUUUCGCCCGUGGUCAAGCCGCGACGUGGGUCGUGGUGAGGGUAGUGGGUAAAGAAGCGCCAGCUAACUACGUG
rnacentral:rRNA from 1 species